rnacentral:lncRNA from 1 species
UAACAUAUAACACCAGGGUAUCUGGUCAACAAGGCAAGUAACAGUAUGUAUGCCAAUGGUAUAUGAGUGCUAAAUGUCGUUCCACGUAGUACAAAUAGGAGAGAAUGCAUGAAUGCAGGAAUGCAAAGCAAUGCACAUGACCGCUACGGUGUGUAGCCCGAUUCAUUUGGGUACCCGCGCUCACUGUGGGGGUUCAGACUUCGGAGGGGCUCCUACAGCCCAAGCGCGAUAUAAAUAUCACAUCGCUGCGGGUCGUGCAACCCGAUCCAUGCAAGUAUAUGCAUAUGCACACAUAAUACUUGAGGCCUGAAAGCCUCCUCAUAUCGCUCCUCAUGCCCUCACAUGGCCCUCGGCCUCAGAUUGUCCAAAAAUAGUCAAAAAGCCCCUCAGGCAUCAGUAAAACAAUAAUACUCAGCUCAAAUGAUAGUUCAAAUAUCAGUUAAAACUCCAAGUUUGAGUAAAAUAUGGUUGAGUUCAUAAAACAGUGCAAAUCACAUGGACUUAGUUCACCAAAUAUUUCAAACAGUGAGGAAAACAGUGAUAAUGGUUCAUAAAGAGUUCAAACAAUCGACAAUAAGCCCCAAGUAUGGCAAUGAACCAAAACUAUAAUGAUAACAACAAAGAAUUUACAAUUUAGCGGUAAAACCAACAACCGGGGCAGACCAAGUCACAAUCCCAACGGUGCUCUACCCCACGCUCAGGUCCAGCAUGCAAGUCACCACAAUACAGCACUAGGAUGUGCAAAUCCGGGGUUUCAAAACCUCAGGAUAUCAUUCCCAAAUAUUACUAACCUCGAACCGGCGAAAACGCAAGCUCGCGAUGCCUUUUCCCCACAAAUCAGCCUCCACGCGCGUCAAAUCUAGCCAAAAAUAGAGCGAAUAUAUCACAAUAUGCAAAUGGGACAAUACCCAGUCGAAAACAAUCGAAUUAUAGCAAGAAUCUCGACACUAGCAAAACCCGAGCCCCGAGCCCCGGGCCCGCUUCUCUAAAAAUUAUGAAAGUCACAUCAUCGGAUUCCUCGUCUCUCCACGAGUCCGUACAUAUAAAAUUUACCAAAAUCGGAGUUAAUUUGACCCUUCAAAUUCCCAAGUCUUAUUUUCAAAUCCCUAGACCUAAAUCCUCAAUUUCUAACCUCCAAACACGGAUAAAAAUUUAAACCAACAGAAAUAAUCAUGGAGAAAAAUCAAAAUAAAAGUCAGAUACUUACCCCCUUGCUGAGACGAGAACAACUCCGUGAAAAGCACCUCAAUCGGAGCUCUAGAACUCAAGUUAUGGCUGAAAUGCCAAACUUCUCGGUUUAUACACUGACUAGGUCGCUUCCGCGGACGUUUUUUCCGCUUCCGCGGACUUUUUGUCUUAUCUGGGACCGCUUUUGCGGUAAUUUUUCCGCUUCCGCGAUCCUGCUUCCACUUUUCCCUCUUCCGCGGACUUUUUGUCUUAUCUGGGACCGCUUUUGCGGUCAUUUGUCCGCUUCCGCUGUCAAUUUCUGCUUCGGCGGUUUUGAAAGAACCAGAUUUUAUCUCGGUAUGGAAACGAGAAUAACUUCCUCAUACAAACUCGGAAUUUGAUGAUUCGUUUUCCUAUGGAUCCGUAAUUUCGAUAUGAAUCUAAGGGUUCAAACAAAACUGAAUUUGGAGCUCAUUUGCUUAUUAUGGUACCCUUUAUUCCCAAAGAUACGGCGUUGGAACAUCAAAUAAGAGUGUGAUCGCAACCCGAAACACACCUGAGGCCCCCGGGACCCCAACCAAUCAUACCAACCAAUCCCAAAACACAUUACGAACUUGAUCGAGGCCUCAAAUCACAUCAAACAACACUAAAACCAUGAAUUACACCUCAAUUCAAGCUUGAAGAAUUUUGAAGUUUCCAACUUUUAUUUCCGAUGCUGAAACCUAUCAAAUCACGUCCGGUUGACUUCAAAUUUUGCACACAAGUCCAAAAUGACAUAAGGAAGCUACAGAAAUUCUCGGAAUUCCAUUCCGAGCCUCAGAUAAAAAUCUCACCUAUCAACCGGAAUUCGCCAAAAUACUAACUUCGCCAAUUCAAGCCUAAUUCUACACCGGACCUCUAAAUUCAAUUCCAAUGGCUCUCCUAAGUCACAAAUCAUCUCCUGAAGCUAACCGAACCACCAAAAUUCACAUCCGAGCCCUCUAGCCACAUAGUCAACUUUCGGUUGACUUUUCCAAAACAAGCUUCCUUCUAAGAGGCCAUGUGCCAUAUUUCCAACCAAAACCAAUUCAAUUACACCCGAUCGACUCUAAUACUGAUAUUGAAACUUGAAGAAACACAAUAAGGGGGAAACGGAGAAGUAACACAUAAGACGGCGGGUCGGGUCGUCACAUCCUCCCAACUUAAACAAAUACUCGUCCUCGAGUGUACCAUGAGUUGUACUAGAAGUAGACCAAUAGCUGAAUGACCUUACUAAGCAUAUACUCAGGGUGAUCCCACGUCACCCUAACUCACAUAGUUACCGAUAACACAACACAGCUGAAAUUUCACAAUCCAUCUGGCCCAUAAACCGUAGAACCACANNNNNNNNNNNNNNNNNNNNNNNNNNNNNNNNNNNNNNNNNNNNNNNNNNNNNNNNNNNNNNNNNNNNNNNNNNNNNNNNNNNNNNNNNNNNNNNNNNNNNNNNNNNNNNNNNNNNNNNNNNNNNNNNNNNNNAAUUAACCCGAACCAGCUGUAAUAACCCACACCUGCAACCUCAGGUGAAUUCAUACAAUAUACCACACAUUCCAACACUCGGAAUGAUGGCCUCUAUUUAUCGCAAUUGCCCACAAUAAACAAAUACUGAUAGUAAAACAUUCAUAUUAGCUAAAGUCUUAUCCCAACACCUUCACAUAUCGCCAACGGCAAAUGAAACACGCGAUAAACCGAACCUAUCUCUCAGAUCACCCAUUCAUGAGUCCAUUUCCUUUCUGAUUGAUACUACAACAUAUUUCGGAUCCAAACCUCGAUAUUAACUUUUUAACAAGCUGAAAUCAAAUAUGCUCGUACUCAUUAAUGACUCCAACGAUCGUCUCAACUACAACACGCCACUCGGGUGAUAUGACACCUCAACACCGGUCUAAACCACAACGUGCUCAACACAGGCACCAAUAAGAAAUUAUCUGAACACACUCAAACAAUGACAACUGACUCAAAUGAAAGAGCUGUAAUUCAAAUUCCUCCGUACGAUCACAGCACGGAACUGAGAUCCCAUCUCACAUCAUAGAAAUAGAGUACAUGAAUCCUCCUUGAAAGGUCAUAACAUCAUGUGGCCUUUCCACAACACGCAAUUCUAUCCAAACACUAUUACCCAUGAAACACCCCAAGUCACCAUGCUCACACAGACAGCCACGCACAUAUGGAGGUCUGAAGCCACAUGGAAUGUACUUUACUUGCCAACUAAGAGACAUGGAAUAUUCUUCACGCGCCCAUAACUCGGACUACAUAUUAAAGCACAAUAGGAAUCGAACACUCGACAGUUCAUCUGUUAUCCAUCAGACUUGUUCGUCACUACCAAUUUAUUUAGAUACACCUCGCAGUACUAACAUACACAUCACAUGGAUAUGCAGCCGCCAUACCGGACAAUAAGAACAACACUGAACUUCUAAGUUCAAAACACUUGCUCACACAUUCAGCACCUCGGUGCUUGCCAUACAGGCACAUAUACUAUUGAGCGCUCGCGUGCGCACACAGACGUGCGGAAGGAAUUUCAAGAGUUAUCUCAAACUGAAUCAAGUACGCACGAUAAGAAUUCCAAGAAUGGGAAGUUUUCCUAAAGGUUCUGCAGCCUCUCGAGGAUAAAUACAGACGUCUUCGUACCGAUCCGCGAGACUCUAAUAACCCUACUCAUGACUCGUAAGACCUAGUAACUUAGGCUCUGAUACCACUUGUCACAACCCAAAUUCCAUAUCCGCUCGUGAUGGCGCCUCUCGUGAAGACAAGGCCAGCCAAAAACCCCCCAAAUCCUCUUUAAACAGCUAUUAAACAUAAAUGAAUAGAAAUACUACUUAAUUGCAUUUAACUAUGAACUUUCAUUCCAAUACAACCAGAUCGGGGUGUCACAAGUCACGAGUAUCUAAUGAGUAGCGACACUACUACGGGACCAAUAAUGUAUAUAAAUACAAGAUGAAACCGGAUACAAAGAUGGAGUGCGGUGCCGCGAACGCAUGCGGUCACCUUCAACUACCACAAUAAGGCCUUCGGUCCUGCUAAUAAUCCGCUACCAGGUGAACAAUACCUGCAACUGCACGCAAGGUGCAAGGAGUAAAGUGAAUACUUCCAACUCAGUGGUAAUAAGAGAGAAUAAUAUUUGAGCGAUAAGAAAACACGCAUGAGCACACCAAACUGCUAUAAAAGACAGAACAACCCAUUUUGAGAAAAACCGAAAUACUGUAAAAAUCCCUUUUUGAAAAUCCCAAGUUCUGUUCAAAAUCUCAUAAAAUGUGCUUUUUCAACAAUUGCAAAGGUAAUUUCAACAAGUAGGAAAAAGUCAUAAACCUGCCCCUUGGGCUCAAUAUCAUCUUACAAUAUCCAACAUCAGCCUCUCGGGCUCAGCACUCCUUAACAUAUAACACCAGGGUAUCUGGUCAACAAGGCAAGUGACAGUAUGUAUGAAAAUGAUAUAUGAGUGCUAAACGUCGUGCCACGUAGUACAAACAGGUGUAAAUGCGUGAAUGCAAUGCAAUGCACAUGACCGCUACGGCGUGUAGCCGGAUCCAUGGUAUAUGAGUGCUAAAUGCCGUGCCACGUAGUACAAAUAGGAGAGAAUGCAUGAAUGAAAGAAUGCAAUGCAAUGCACAUGACCGCUACGGCGCGUAGCCCGAUCCAUUUGGGUACUCGCGCUCACUGUGGGGGUUCAGACUCUGGAAGGGCUCCUACAACCCAAGCGCGAUAUAAAUAUCACAUCGCUGCGGGUCGUGCAACCCGAUCCAUGCAAGUAUAUGCAUAUGCACACAUAAUGCUCGAGGCCUGAAAGCAUCCUCACAUCGCUCCUCAUGCCCUCACACAUGGACCUCGGCCUCAGACAGUCCAAAAAUAGUCAAAAAGCCCCUCGGGCAUCAGUAAAACAAUAAUACUCAGCUCAAAUGAUAGUUCAGAUAUCAGUUAAAACUCCAAGUUUGAUUAAAAUAUGGUUGAGUUCAUAAAACAGUGCAAAUCACAUGGACUGAGUUCACAAAAUAUUUCAAACAGUGAGGAAAACAGUGAUGAUAGUUCAUAAAGAGUUCAAACAAUCGACAAUAAGCCCCAAGUAUGGCAAUGAGCCCAAAUUUAUAAUGAUAACAACAAAGCAUUUGCAAUUUAGCGGUAAAACCAACAACCGGGAUAGACCAAGUCACAAUCCCAAUGGUGCUCUACCCCACGCUCAGGUCCAGCGUGCAAGUCACCACAAUACAGCACUAGGAUGUGCAAAUCGGGGGUUUCAAACCCUCAGGAUAUCGAUAAUGAUAACAACAUAGCAUUUACAAUUUAGCGGUAAAACCAACAAACGGGACAGACCAAGUCAUAAUCCCAACGGUGCUCUACCCCACGCUCAGGUCCAGCGUGCAAGUCACCACAAUACAGCACUAGUGAAAACAAACAACCAGGAUGGACCAAGUCGUGAUCCCCAACGGUGCUCUACCCCACGCUCAGGCGCAGCGUGCAAGUCACAACAAUACAGCACUAAGAUGUGCAAAUCCCGGGUUUCAAACCUUCAGGAUACAUUCCCAAAUAUUACUCACCUCGAACCGGCGAAAACUCAAGCUCGCGAUGCCUUUGCCCCUCAAAUCGGCCUCCACGCGCAUCGAAUCUAGCAAAAAAAAGAGCAAAUAUAUCACAAUAUGCAUAUGGGACAAUACCCAAUCGAAAACAAUCAAAUUAUAGCAAGAACCUCGAAACUAGCAAAACCCGAGCCCCGGGCCUGCUUCUCAAAAAAUUAUGAAACU